GACGAACGCUGGCGGCGUGCUUAACACAUGCAAGUCGAACGGAAAGGCCCUGCUUUUGUGGGGUGCUCGAGUGGCGAACGGGUGAGUAACACGUGAGUAACCUGCCCUUGACUUUGGGAUAACUUCAGGAAACUGGGGCUAAUACCGGAUAGGAGCUCCUGCUGCAUGGUGGGGGUUGGAAAGUUUCGGCGGUUGGGGAUGGACUCGCGGCUUAUCAGCUUGUUGGUGGGGUAGUGGCUUACCAAGGCUUUGACGGGUAGCCGGCCUGAGAGGGGUACCGGCCACAUUGGGACUGAGAUACGGACCAGACUCCUACGGGAGGCAGCAGUGGGGAAUAUUGCACAAUGGGCGGAAGCCUGAUGCAGCAACGCCGCGUGCGUGAUGACGGCCUUCGGGUUGUAAACCGCUUUCGCCGGUGACGAAGCGUGAGUGACGGUAAUGGGUAAAGAAGCAACGGCUAACUACGUG
rnacentral:rRNA from 1 species